rnacentral:lncRNA from 1 species
GAGAGGCCAUCAUUGGCAACAAUAGUUCUCAUGCUCAAUAGUUACUCUGUCACACUUCCGUCGCCUCAACAGCCUGCAUUUUUCAUAGGCAGUCGAACUGAGAGGAGCUUGCCCACAAAAGAAUUUGAGUUCUCUGAUAAAUCUACAAGCAAGUCGAUGCCAUGGUCUGUUGAUGAAGCAUCAAUUACUGAAGUAUACCCCCGUUAACUUGUAAAAAUUGUUGACGAUGCUUCUUCUUUAUGUUAGUAUAUGUUCUCCCCAAGGGGAGUGCUGGUACAUUACGAGGGAGAAUGACAUGGUUUAUGACAAGCAAUAAUGAUAAAGAGGAGGCGCCCUUCAAAUUGAAUGGCGCCGCGUUACAUUUUCCAAAGUUUUUAUUUGUUGAAGUAUAUGAUUAUUGUAUGGAUGAGUAACGAUGCAACGUUGGGAAAUCAAAUAUUCCAUUACGGUGUCGUUUGCGUUUAGUGUCGUCCGGUUAGUGUUUGCUGGGUCCGGACUCCGGAGCCCAAUUUUCCAUUACGAUGUAGUUUGUGUUCUAUGCCGUAAGCAUCCAGUUCUGUCUGAGUCUUCAAUUUUUUCUUUUUCCCCUGAAAAUUGUCUCAAUCUAUUUAAUUUAGUGAAAAUUUCAACAAAAUUUGACUGAGAUUUUCCGUCUUUCGUGCUUGACUUCCCUUUUAUUGACUUUGCGUGGACAGGUCUCCUCUGCAAUAAUCAACUUCCGCAUCUUCACCACGCGUUUCAACUUUCAAACAAAGUUGUUUGAUCAAUCUCAUCGCCAUUCACCAACAAUAAUACUUAAUAAAUGAACAGAGAAAUUAAAAGCAAUAAAAAAUAAAAAAAGAGGAAGAUAGACGAUCAUCACAUAUGUAUAUCCGUAGUACUAAGAACUAUUUAUUGUAUUCAUUCCCGGGUGAGGUCAGCCUGAGGCUGAAAGCGAGAAUCCAAAUGCGUUCCUUCAAAUUAUUCAUUUUCUUUCCGUUUCUGUCUUUUGUAAGCAUUUUUCUCAGAUUCACAACUGCAGCUGACCCAGAAUACCUCGCUCAUAAUUGCCCAAAUACAACAACUUUCAGCAGGAACAGGACUUCUCAAUCCAACCUCCACCUUUUCUUCUCUUCUCUGCCCACUAACGCCAGCCGCAGCAACGGAUUCUUCAGCCGUUUCUACAACGCCACAGCAGGCCAAGACUCUGACAGAGUCUACGGCCUCUUCCUCGGCCGUGGCGAUCUUGGCAGCAGCGCCUGCCAAGGCUGUCUCGCUUUUGCUGCCAGAAAUGUUAAUAUCAAAAUUUCCUUCUUCCUUAUGUUGCAAAGUCCCUAAAUAUCAACUCUUCUAACAUAUAACCCCUUUUUGUUUUGUUUUGUCCAAUUUCAUUCAUUUACUAUGGCAAAUCGAUAAAUUUGCCACCUAAUUUAUAUCGAAAGUUCAAUUUGAUACCAAAGAAUUUUGAUAAUAGCUCUCUGUACCACCGAACCUUUUUUUUAUGUUAACAUCGUUAGGCAAAGGUUGAUGUCGCAGGGGCAAUUUCGGUAUUUCAAAAUUUGGUUUCAUCUGGUAAAAAGGGACGCCUCUUUAUAAAUCAAAACGGUCAAUGAUGGUGAGUCAAAAAAAGAAAAAAGGGCCAAUGAUGGUUUGAUAUAAAAUGAAAAAGUUGAGUGCUACAGAGAAAUUGAUAAUUUCCUAAUCAGAAAAUACAUAUGUAAUUACUAUUAUUAAAUUUAACAUUGUAGUUGAUAUGUAUUUUGAGAAACAAACUUCAUUCUAAUUGUUCUUUUAACAUUCAUAUUCAUAUCGAUAAAGAAAAAACUAUAUCUAUAUCAAUUUUAAUAAAUGUUAAAAGAACAAUUAAGAUGGAAUUAGUUUCUUAAAAUAAUUAUUUUUUUGAAAUUUAAUUGUAAUUGAUAUGUAUUUAUUAAAAUUGGUAUAAAUAUAAUUGUUAAAAGAACAAUUAAGAUGAUUUUUUUUUUAAAUAAAAAUUUUCAGAAUUUUUAAAAUUAAUAAUAUUAAAAUUUAGCAGCGGAUCAAUGGGUGACACAUGUCUGCCCCUAUUGAAUGUUAAAUUAACUUUAAUAAAUAUAUAUUCAUAUUUAAAGACUUUAACUAAUAACAUAAAUAAAAUUAUAUGAAAACUUAAUCGUAUAAUUUCAUAUUGGGCGUAGUAGGGGCAAUUUCAUAUAUAACUAUUUUUGUUACUUUUUUUCCAUGUAAGUGGAUAAAUUGUCCUUAUAUAUAUUUAAAUAAUUCCUAUAAUAAAAUUGUCCUAUGUAAAGUAUAUGUAAACUAUUUUAUCACUUUUUAAGUGGUAAUUUGAUAUAACAAUUUGGGUGUUGGAGUACGUUUUUGUAGGUACCCCGCAUCAUUAAAGCUUAUCCAAUGAGGAAAGAAGAUAAUUUUUGUUGUGAAGGAAAAAGUCCACUUUCACAAAUGCAUUUUCAAAUUUAUCAAAAGCUAAUCAUUCAUAUAUAUUCUAAAGCAAAUAACACAAAUCAUUUGAAAAUAUCAAAGACAUGCUUAAUAUUUUGGAGCAACUUAAUUAUUGAAAUUGGAAGAGAGAGUGAUUCUGGGGUUUUCACUUUUCAUCCACCUCUCUAUAGGUGAAAAUCGCGCAACUCAAAUGUUUAUUUGUCCUUCAAACUAAUUUCACAGUGGCUCUUGUGAGUUGUGAUAGGAUAAGUGGCGUUCAAAUAGCUGUACUCUUUCAGUUUGCAAGUGUACCCAUCAUUUAAGCCCAGCCCGGCCCAUUUAUACCCAACAUAAUGGGCUGCUUAUGAAAUACUCUCCUAUAAUUCUGUUGAAGUAAGAACCCCAUCAUUGUUUUCUGAACCUCGUUUCCUGCAAAAAUCAAUUACGCAAACAAUGCCAUUAAAAUAGUAGCAAUAAACUUUUCAAAGAAUGUACACGGGAAUCGGACUAGAUCAUGACAUUGUAGUGAAACAUGCGAUUUGGCUAAUUGGCUUCAAGAAGAUACGAAACGAUGACUUUUAAACUCUUCAAUUUGAAGAAUUUUCAAAUAAUAUUUGAAAGGUAUAAUAUUUAAUUAAUACAUAUAUAACAUGUAUAAUUUACUUAAAUAUAAUUUUCAAUUAUAUAAUAAUAUCCGUUCAUCAUUGUCUCCUUUUAUAUGUAGUACCGAACAAGUUAAGGAAGUCAUGUUCAUGCCCAACCUAGUUUUGAUCCAUCAGCAUUUUACGCAUAAUUAAAGGACAAAAUACUCCCUGGAAAAUAUAUUCAUAAUAGACAGCUAACAUGAGACUUGGCUAUGUUGCAAUUGUAGUAUCAUACUAUAGUUGCAAUCAGUCAUUGGAUCCACUUAAAUCUACUAUUGUACCAUUCAUCUAAGUGAAUUUAAUAGAUGGUUGUAACUGUGGCACGGUACCACAAUUACAAUAUAAUCAAACCCGCUAACAUGUAUCUCUGACGUCACGAAUUGACUUCUGUCUUGAUCAAUUUAAUGUUUUUUUUUUUCCUUCAACUAACUUUCCACAAAUUCUUCAAUCACAAAAAAAUAAAAAUAAAAUAAGAGUUCCAGAAUUUCAUUUGAUUGAGGCUUUGCGACUUUUUUUCUCCGGGUGAUUGGAAGCAAAACAAGUAAUUAAUUGGAACGGGACGAGCUUGACUUCACUUAGUUGACUUUGUGCAGACGAGUCCCGUUUCCGACGCAACUUUUGCAGCUUCCACUACUCGUUUCUUCAUUAUAUUUGAUAAAAUCUCGUCUCCAUAAUUAAUAAAAUAAAAGGUAGAAUAAAAAGCAAUAAAGAGGAAGAAGAGAUAGAGGAUUGUAUUUGUAAUCCACAGUACGCAACAAAAACCUGAGAUUCCAAAUGCCGCCCUUGAAAUUCUUCAUGGUCUUUUCGUUUCUCAUAUAUCUUUUAAGCUUCCAGUUCAGUUUUACAGCUGCAGUUGUCCCAAUAUACGCUACUCAUGUUUGCUCAACAACAGCAAAUUUCACCAGAAACAGCACCUAUGAAAAAAGCCUCAAUCUUUUCCUCUCUUCUAUUCCGACUAACGCCAGCCGCGGAAAUGGAUUCUCCAGCGGAUUCUUCAACGCUACAGCCGGUCAAGACCCAAACAGGGUCUAUGGCCUCUUUCUCUGCCGCGGGGAUCAAACUACCAGCGGUUGUCAAGACUGUGUCACCUACGCUACAAGAAAUGUACUUCAGCUUUGCCCAGUCAGCAAACAAACAACACUAUGGUACGCUGAGUGCCUUUUACGUUACUCAGAUCAGUCUUUCUUUUCUACCAUGGCCGCAGCUCCCACUGUCUCUUUGUUGAAUACAGAAAAUGUUACGGACCAAGGCAGGUUUAACGAGCUAGUGGGGACUCAGAUGAGCCAAGCUGUAACUCAGGCUGUGAAUAAUACCAAAAGGUUUGCAACGAGAAAAGCAAAUUUCACAGCCUCUCAAACACUCUACAGUCUUGCACAAUGUACACCGGACCUGUCAAGUUCGGCUUGUAACAGAUGUCUUCGAGAAGCCAUCGCACGGUUGCCAAUUUGUUGCAGUGGAAAGCAAGGAGGAAGAGUGUUGACUCCGAGUUGUAAUGUAUGGUAUGAAUUGUACCCUUUUUACAAUGAAUCAGCCACAGCGCCGCCAGCACCUGCUCCGGUUCUUCUUUCUCCUCCACCUCCUGGUUCGGUAACGACGUCUCGAGGUAAAUGUGAACCCACUUUUUAUUGCCAUUUUCAUUAUUUUAAGUUUUAUAUGCUUUAUCGUUUUCUUUUGAGGGGUCUGUCAAUGAUACAUCUGGAAGUUAUGAUUUUAAGUGAAAGGCAACCAGAUUUUAGGCUCCUUUUGGUAUUAAGCUACAGUUAAAGUGUUUGAUGAAUACUUUAUGUGGUGAUUUUGAAUUCAAGUUAAUUUUAUUCUACACUUAUCUUAUUUAAAAUUUAUACAUAUUACUAUACUUUUAACUUUUAUUUUAUAAAAGCCACUAAACUUUAGUCUUCACAAUUGUGAGGUCAUGAGUUCGAAUCCCUACAACGCAUUGUGGGGGUUUAAUUUCUUUCCUCAAAUUUGAGUGAAGGUAGAGUGGAGUAGACGUCCCUCGAAUAUCAGAGAGGGUAAAAAUUUAGGCAUGCUUCAUAAGAAUCGAUGUAAACUAGUCCCAGUAAUAAUCUGAUUUGUAAAUACAAUCAGUUGUAAUAUCAUGUAAUAUGAGUUGUACGCCGGAUCAAUAGUUUCAUGUAAUAAAAAAAAAAUUAUUUUAUAAUUAUAAUUUUUUUCCACUGUAACUCACUACUAAAUAGGGAGGACCUUAAAAAGUUGGAUUGAUAUUGAUUCAUAAUAUACGUGAUUGAUGAUUUUAACCAUUUAAAACAAUGUUUGUUCUAGUUUGUUCUAGAUAUUUAACAUUCAAUAUGAUAUUUCACAUUGAUGAAUUUCUAGGAUGCCUAAUGAAACAUAUUGUUUUUCCCUGCAGGGAAAAGCGGAAUCUCAUCAUCAACAAUUAUUGCCAUUGUUGCUCCAAUUGUUGUCACUGCAGUGCUUUUCAUUGUGGGCUUCUGCUUCCUAAGAAGGAAAGCAAAAAAGAAGUAUAAUGCUGUACCGGAAGGUAAUGGUAAGCACAAGAGCUACUUUAUUACCAAAUCAAUAGUUGUAACUUUUAACAAGAGUAUGUACGCAUACAAUUGUUGUAACUUUUUUGUGAGACUGAUUUAAUUACUUUUUGUUUGUGCAGCUGAUAACGAUCUUACAACUCUAGAAUCCUUGCAAUUUGAUUUCGAGGCAAUUAAAGUUGCCACAAACAAAUUCUCAACUGACAACAAGUUGGGUGCAGGUGGAUUUGGUGAGGUUUAUAAGGUAUACCAUUCAUUAUCAUGACAUCUCUGAAAGUUUUUAGCAGUUGCAAGACACGUCACAAAUUUUCUAAUUGUUGAUUAAUGUAUCUUUGCAGGGUGUACUUCCUAGCGGGCGAGAAAUAGCUGUGAAAAGGCUAUCAAAAAGCUCUGGACAGGGUGCAGAAGAAUUUAAGAAUGAGGUCGUUGUGGUUGCCAAGCUUCAACACAGAAAUCUGGUUAGGCUACUGGGAUUUUGCUUGGAGGGUGUAGAAAAGCUACUCAUAUACGAAUUUGUGCCAAACAAAAGCCUUGACUAUUUUCUUUUUGGUUAGGAUCAUUUACAUAAAUUUCAAUGUCUUAAGAGAGUUUAAUAUUCAAGAUUUUUUAAUAGAUUAUUUGAGUUUUUAUCCAUCUUUUCAGGACGGACAGAAUUUCUAGAUUGCAUUUAAAUUCAAUUUCCAAAUUUCAAUUUGAAGUAUUGAUUUUGAUAUGUGCACAGACCCUGAAAAACAAGGACAAUUGGAUUGGUCAAGGCGCUACAAGAUAAUUGGACUGAUUGCUCGAGGAAUUCUUUAUCUUCACGAAGAUUCUCGACUCAGAAUUAUACAUCGUGACCUGAAAGUUAGCAAUAUACUCUUAGACGCAGAGAUGAAUCCAAAAAUUUCAGACUUUGGCAUGGCAAAGAUAUUUGGAGUUGAUCAAACUCAAGGAAAUACUAGCAGAAUAGCUGGGACAUAGUAAGUAUAGACAACCAUUCCCCUUUUUUACAUACUCUCCAUUUGAUUAGUUUACAAUUUAUGCAUUAUAUCCCCUAGGAGAACCAUUUAGUCUGGGUUAUAAAUAAAUUGUAUAGAGUUAUUUGAAUAAUUUCAAAAGAUUUGUUGUUGUCUUUAGACCGACUUAGUUGCUGGUUUACAGUGGUUACAUGGCCCCAGAAUAUGCUAUGCAUGGGCAAUUUUCUGUGAAAUCAGAUGUAUAUAGUUUUGGUGUCCUAGUUCUGGAGAUUAUAACCGGGAAGAAGAACAGCAGCUUUUAUCAAACAGAUGGUGCUAGACAUCUUUUGAGCUAUGUAAGCAUUUCCCUUUAUUAGUGCCUAUAUCAUCACUCACAAGUAAAAGCACCAAAAAAGAGGUAGAAGCUGCAACCUUUUUUAAUAUCCCUCAUAUACUGUUUGCAGGCUUGGAAACAAUGGAGGGAUGGAACUCCUUUGCAGUUGUUGGAUCCAAAUCUGACAGAUACUUACUCAAGAAAUGAAGUAAUUAGAUGCAUCCAUUUGGGCUUAUUAUGUGUCCAGGAAGAUCCAGCUGAAAGGCCAUCAAUGGCAACAAUAGUUCUCAUGCUCAAUAGUUACUCUGUCAUACUUCCAUCGCCUCAACAGCCUGCAUUUUUCAUAGGCAGUCGAACUGAGAGGAGCUUGCCCACAAAAGAAAUUGAGUUCUCUGAUAAAUCUACAAACAAGUCGAUGCCAUGGUCUGUUGAUGAAGCAUCAAUUACUGAAGUAUACCCCCGUUAACCCGUAAGAACUGUUAACAAUGCUUCUUCUUUGGAUUGUAUAUGGUCUACCCAUGGGCAGGGCUAGUACAGUGUGGGGGAGAAUAACAUGGCUUAUGACAAGCAAUAAUGA